UAGGAAAAGUUAGUUGGCUGAAAACGCUA
rnacentral:piRNA from 1 species